rnacentral:rRNA from 1 species
ACCCGCUGAACUUAAGCAUAUCAAUAAGCGGAGGAAAAGAAACCAACAGGGAUUGCCUUAGUAGCGGCGAGUGAAGCGGCAAAAGCUCAAAUUUGAAAUCUGGCGCCUUCGGUGUCCGAGUUGUAAUUUGAAGAUUGUAACCUUGGGGUUGGCUCUUGUCUAUGUUUCUUGGAACAGGACGUCACAGAGGGUGAGAAUCCCGUGCGAUGAGAUGCCCAAUUCUAUGUAAGGUGCUUUCGAAGAGUCGAGUUGUCUGGGAAUGCAGCUCUAAGUGGGUGGUAAAUUCCAUCUAAAACUAAAUAUUGGCGAGAGACCGAUAGCGAACAAGUACAGUGAUGGAAAGAUGAAAAGAACUUUGAAAAGAGAGUGAAAAAGUACGUGAAAUUGUUGAAAGGGAAGGGUUUGAGAUCAGACUCGAUAUUUUGUGAGCCUUGCCUUCGUGGCGGGGUGACCCGCAGCUUAUCGGGCCAGCAUCGGUUUGGGCGGUAGGAUAAUGGCGUAGGAAUGUGACUUUACUUCGGUGAAGUGUUAUAGCCUGCGUUGAUGCUGCCCGCCUAGACCGAGGACUGCGAUUUUAUCAAGGAUGCUGGCAUAAUGAUCCCAAACCGCCCGUCUUGAAACACGGACC